ACGGAAUGUGGACGUUUCACCCACAGACACAGUCCAGUCGUGUCAAGAAUCGCCUCCCUGUUCGGCCAGUCAAGAAGUGAGCAAGUGUUCUUAUCGCAGAUUCGCCUCGACAUGCUGCCGCUAAACUAUCGUCUGUUCAAACGCAAAAAACAUCCGACCGGUCUCUGCAGCAACUGCGACGCCGAAGAAAAAGAAAAUGUCGAACACGUACUGCUGGCCUGCCCGGCGUACGCAAAGAAGCGAGAAGAAAUGGUGAACGUAGUGAGCGAAAACACUCCCACACUGCAAGAGCUGCUAAAUUUCAACGACGAGGUAACUCUCAAAGCCGUUUUGGACUUCUUUAAUGCCAUAGGCAUCAAAGCCCGACUCGGUUUCUAGCAAGAGAAUCCAAAAACCUAAAGCCGGUGCCCAGCAUUCUCCCUAAAACGCAUGUGCAAGUGGCGUAAAUAGGCCUGCCGGCCUGGAAACGUCAAUCCCCAUCUCCAAAAAACCAACCAACCGACAGAGAUCAGUCGAGUGAGCAUCUCCGACACGGCAACAACUGCAGCGCACUAUUUUUCAAAGUUCUACCUUCUUCAUCGCAUAACUGGUUCGCAAUCGUGGUUAACUUACUAUGGCGACGUGAUGUUGUUGGGAGUUGUAUCGUUGAUGGCUGGGUCGAUCAGCGGUCUACCGAUGUCUCCUGGGUGUGGUGAAUAUCAAGAAACAGCAGCGAAAGAAUACUAUACCACGCCGCCUCCUUAUUGAGCAACAACGUCAAUACCUACUUACUAUACGGAGGCCUUAAAGUACUACACCACCAAGGCUCUUGAGUAUUAAACUGCAACUUACGCUGCUCCGUCUUAGGAAACAUGGUUAACUGUGGGUCGUGCCGCUGUUGGAUGUUAUAUCAUGUCAUAUCAUUGAUGGCUGGGUCGACCACUGGUGUGCCGAUGUCUCCUGGUUAUGGUAAGUACCAAACCGCAACGCCGCGCCCUUACUACACAACGAAGUCAACAUACGCAACAUCUGUUCUUACACCGAGGCUCCCAAGUACUACACCACCGAG
rnacentral:lncRNA from 1 species